rnacentral:lncRNA from 1 species
UCCCCGCAGCUUCACGGUGUGGCAGGUGGUGGGUUCCUUCUGGUUUGCUGGUUUCUCUGUCUCGGCUCUGGCCUCCGGUGGUCUCUUUUUCCCAGCUGGCAUCCCUUGCUCUUGGCCUGCACCCUUGCUGUCUCUUUCCUGCAGGACUGGGGUGGCGGAGGAAUCCUCUUCCUCGGCCUCACUCCCUUCAUCACAGUGCACGGCUUCAUCUUCACUUUCCUCUUCCUCCGAGGAAGAGGACGACCCAGCCUUCACCAUCUUGGAUUUCAGGUAAUCCAUGUCCGACAGCUCCUUCUGCACAGCUGCCUUUGGUUCGAGGCUUGCCUCUUCU